rnacentral:sRNA from 1 species
CCUGCCAGAUAUUGACCCCCUGGUGGAGGCUCUGCUCAUCUGUCACGGACGUGAACCUCAGGAAAUCCUCCAGCCAGAGUUCUUUGAGGCCGUAAACGAGGCCAUUUUGCUUUGCAGGGAAGACACUCAGUGUUGUUGGGGGAAGACUCCUAUAAGUAUAUAGAUUAUUGAGAGAGCUGGCUUUUUCAUGUUAAGGCUGUCUGUCCGCCUGUUCAAGAACACAUAUGUUUUUACCAUUUGUUCAGCUUUUGUGAUCUGAAGGGAGUGUUGUAUAUAUUUUUCACACAUUGGAUUUACACAUUUCUUGUUCCUAAUGUUUUGUUGUAUUUGUGUUUUGAAUGUUUUCACUGUCAUAAAU